AAAAACUGUGCUACAUAAUUUAUACAUUUAGGAACUCUUAAUCUGUUUUUUUUUUCCAGAAAAACAGCGCUCAUUAAUUUCUGAUGCUUUUUCCAGUAUUUUUUAAUGUAGAAAUACCCUUUCAAGACACAAAAGCAUAAGGUGAAAAAAUACAAAAAAAAAAAAAAAAAGAAAUUUAUAUUUUACUUUUAUUUUUGUUUAGACAUUUCUCAAUAUUUAUUAGGACUAGAUAAUUCUAGUGUAUGUACAU
rnacentral:lncRNA from 1 species